rnacentral:rRNA from 1 species
CAUGUAGGCGGCAUGACAAGUCUGGUGUGAAAUAUCUCGGCUCAACCGAGAAAACGCACUGGAAACUGUCAAGCUUGAGUAUCGGAGGGGAAGCUAGAAUUCCUGGUGUAGGGGUGAAAUCUGUAGAUAUCAGGAAGAAUACCGGUGGCGAAGGCGAGCUUUUGGCCAGAUACUGACGCUGAGAUGCGAAAGCGUGGGGAGCGAACAGGAUUAGAUACCCUGGUAGUCC